AACGAACGCUGGCGGCAUGCCUAACACAUGCAAGUCGAGCGAGAUCUUCGGGUCUAGUGGCGCACGGGUGCGUAACGCGUGGGAAUCUGCCCUUUGGUUCGGAAUAACAGUUGGGAACGACUGCUAAUCCCGGAUGAUAACGAAAGUCCAAAGAUUUAUCGCCAGAGGAUGAGCCCGCGUAGGAUUAGCUAGUUGGUGUGGUAACGGCGCACCAAGGCGACGAUCCUGAGCUGGUCUGAGAGGAUGAUCAGCCAAACUGGGACUGAGACACGGCCCAGACUGCUACGGGAGGCAGCAGUGGGGAAUAUUGGCCAAUGGGCGAAAGCCUGAUCCAGCAAUGCCGCGUGAGUGAUGAAGGCCUUAGGGUUGUAAAGCUCUUUUACCCGGGAUGAUAAUGACAGUACCGGGAGAAUAAGCUCCGGCUAACUCCGUGCCAGCCGCCGCGGUAA
rnacentral:rRNA from 1 species